ensembl:lncRNA
ACGGGCCCAGAGUUCAAAACAGUGCUUAAAGCAAACACAUUGCCGUCGGCACCCGGAACUGAACGGGGCCCUUAGAGGCACGACAGAGGCUUCUUGGGGGGUGGUCAAGCUGUAGUGAGAUCAGGUCAGGAAGUCGCCUGAGGCGCCAGGUCCAGCACUAUCUUGGGCCGACUUCCUUGGCGCUUAGGGAAUGGAUAGCAUCUGGCCGAGCAAGAGCGAUGACUUGAGAAGCUGAUUGAGCAGCUGGAGGUGCGGGUUUGGCGGGCUGUUGAGUUGGCGCCAUCUUGGGGCAACUGGAAGCAGUUGCAGAACUGGAGCGCUUUGGCAAGAAGAGUUGCAUUGCCUGGGACGACUUCUGCACGGUGGUGAAGCGUUCAGUAAAACCCUCAACCGGAGGUCCAAACAGGCUGGUUGGAGAGACAGGGGAAUGGAGGAAGGGGACCUUAUCCACAUCCUUGAUCUCUGUAAGGGACAACCAUAGGUGGCAUUCAAGCACCACUAGAUUGGCCAUGGACCUGUCACUAGCCUGAGCCAUCAUCUUGGUGGCGCGUAAAGUCAGGUCGGUCGCGCUGCGCAGCUCUCUAAAAAGCUGUGGGGGUCUGGGCUGGACUCGUCCAUGCAGCAGAGGAGUUUGGCCUGAAAGACCUGGAGGACCGCCAUGGAGUGAAUCGCUGAGGCCGCUUGUCCAGCUGACGAUAGGCUCGUCCAGCAAGAGCUGAAGUCAUCCUACACGGCUUGGAUGGGUGGGCAGCCUUUGCCUUCCAACCGAUGGCCGUGUGCAGGCAAAGAUGCACGGCCACUGACUCAUCCAGGGGAGGCAGUCUAUCUUAACCUUUUUUUUCGGCGCUGUCGACCGAUGUGAGGGCGGGCGAAGAAGAGGCAUUUAAGUGGGCUGAGUAGGGGGCACGCCAAGAUCUGGUGAUCUCGUCAUGGACCUCUGGGAAGAAUGGUGAAGCCUGUUGAUGAUGGGCCUGACGGCGCCCCCGCAAGAACCAUUCAUCAAGGCGGCUCACAGAGGGACCCUGGUCCAGGUGAGCGAAGAGGAUGGGAGAAACCUAUCUAUGAGGAGACAGUGAGGCAUGCGGGGGUUCAGCCGGUGUGGGCUCACUUGUCUCCUUGUGGCAAGUUACUGUGCCCCGCUGCUUUUUCCUCACAGGGUCCUGGGAGGAAGGAAGUGGGAGGGUGCGAGGGGAGGAGUCGCUUUCUGAAAACAAAGCUAACCGCGAGUGCAGAGAAGCGAGACUCAUAUCCUCGCAAUGAGGACAUUAUGUCUCAGUGAGUGCAGUUUCAGCAUGGGUGGCGCCCAUGCAUGAAACACACUUGCCGUGUUUGUCAGUGGCAUGCAGAGGAGCCCUGCACAAGCGACAAUAACGGCCUGGCAUUUGUAACAACUCAGAGAAUCUAAUAGAGAAAUUGCCGGAUAGCGACAGGGGACCGGAAGACUGCUGCAGACGCUGAAGGCGUUUGAUUUUGAUUUGUGCAUGGCUUUAUUUUCAAGUCUCUUGUAAUCAUCCAGUCAACAGGAGUCUUUUGCAUCAAGCCCAGACCCCCUGACUGAAAACACUGACCACAUGAAAAGAACCUAAACAACCUUUGAAAUUCUGUCACCGAUGCAAUAUUCAUAGCUAAAAUAAGCCA